AUUGAACGCUGGCGGCAGGCCUAACACAUGCAAGUCGAGCGAGCGGCGGACGGGGGAGUAAUGUCUGGGAAACUGCCUGAUGGAGGGGGAUAACUACUGGAAACGGUAGCUAAUACCGCAUACCAUCAGAUGUGCGCAGAUGGGAUUAGCUAGUAGGUGGGGUAACGGCUCACCUAGGCGACGAUCCCUAGCUGAUCUGAGAGGAUGACCAGCCACACUGGGACUGAGACACGGUCCAGACUCCUACGGGAGGCAGCAGUGGGGAAUAUUGGGCAAUGGGCGAAAGCCUGAUGCAGCAAUGCCGCGUGUGUGAAGAAGGUCUUCGGGUUGUAAAGCACUGUCAGCGGGGAGGCGGUACCCGCAGAGGAAGCAACGGCUAACUCCGUGCCAGCAGCCGCGGUAAUUC
rnacentral:rRNA from 1 species